rnacentral:rRNA from 1 species
GCGAGUGAAGCGGGAAAAGCUCAAAUUUAAAAUCUGUCAGUCUUUGGCUGUCCGAGUUGUAAUCUAGAGAAGCGUUAUCCGCGCUGGACCGUGUACAAGUCUCCUGGAAUGGAGCGUCAUAGAGGGUGAGAAUCCCGUCUUUGACACGGACUGCCAGGGCUUUGUGAUGCGCUCUCAAAGAGUCGAGUUGUUUGGGAAUGCAGCUCAAAAUGGGUGGUAAAUUCCAUCUAAAGCUAAAUAUUGGCGAGAGACCGAUAGCGAACAAGUACCGUGAGGGAAAGAUGAAAAGAACUUUGGAAAGAGAGUUAAACAGUACGUGAAAUUGCUGAAAGGGAAACGCUUGAAGUCAGUCGCGUCGUCCAGGGAUCAACCUUGCUUUUGCUUGGUGUACUUUCUGGUUGACGGGUCAGCAUCAAUUUUGACUAUUGGAAAAAGAUCAGGGGAAUGUGGCAUCCUUUGGAUGUGUUAUAGCCUUUGGUUGUAUACAAUGGUUGGGAUUGAGGAACUCAGCACGCCGCAAGGCCGGGUUUUUAACCACGUACGUGCUUAGGAUGCUGGCAUAAUGGCUUUAAUCGACCCGUCUUGAAACACGGACCAAGGAGUCUAACAUACCUGCGAGUGUUUGGGUGGAAAACUCGAGCGCGUAAUGAAAGUGAAAGUUGAGAUCCCUGUCGUGGGGAGCAUCGACGCCCGGACCAGACCUUUUGUGACGGCUCCGCGGUAGAGCAUGUAUGUUGGGACCCGAAAGAUGGUGAACUAUGCCUGAAUAGGGUGAAGCCAGAGGAAACUCUGGUGGAGGCUCGUAGCGAUUCUGACGUGCAAAUCGAUCGUCAAAUUUGGGUAUAGGGGCGAAAGACUAAUCGAACCAUCUAGUAGCUGGUUCCUGCCGA